rnacentral:rRNA from 1 species
AGGCCUAACACAUGCAAGUCGAACGGUAACAUUUCUAGCUUGCUAGAAGAUGACGAGUGGCGGACGGGUGAGUAAUGCUUGGGAACUUGCCUUUGCGAGGGGGAUAACAGUUGGAAACGACUGCUAAUACCGCAUAAUGUCUUCGGACCAAACGGGGCUUUUAGCUCCGGCGCAAAGAGAGGCCCAAGUGAGAUUAGCUAGUUGGUAAGGUAACGGCUUACCAAGGCGACGAUCUCUAGCUGUUCUGAGAGGAAGAUCAGCCACACUGGGACUGAGACACGGCCCAGACUCCUACGGGAGGCAGCAGUGGGGAAUAUUGCACAAUGGGGGAAACCCUGAUGCAGCCAUGCCGCGUGUGUGAAGAAGGCCUUCGGGUUGUAAAGCACUUUCAGUUGUGAGGAAAAGUUAGUAGUUAAUACCUGCUAGCCGUGACGUUAACAACAGAAGAAGCACCGGCUAACUCCGUGCCAGCAGCCGCGGUAAUACGGAG